CAGAAAUGAUAUUUUCGCAAAAUUUAUUUCGUCGUCCCACCCCAACUUGCAUUGCCUGUAGAAAUUGGGAGGAGCCAAUUUCACUGUGUUGGGGCCCACACCCCAACUUGCACAUUAUUGUAAGCUGACUUUUCGUCAGCUUCUGUGUUGGGGCCCCUGACUUUAAUUGGAAAAAGCUUGUUACAAGCGCAAUUUUGUUCAGUCAACUACUACUAAUGUAACUUUUUGGAUUCUAGAGCAUUGUUUU
rnacentral:ncRNA from 1 species